CAGGAUGAGAACAGAAAUUGUGCUUCGGUGGCGCGGCAGCAGCAGGAGGCCCCAUUAGCUAAAGUGGUGCUUCAGAAAGCAUCUUCUUUGAAUCCAUUCUGUUGAGUUUUCUACACCAUUAAUCUGGACCUGGGAACUAGCUAAGGUUAGAUGUGCCUGCAUGCAGGAAACUGUUCUGGAAACAUAUUAUCUAUGUUUAAAAAUACAUUAUGUGUGAAACAGCCCACAGAGUAUAUACUCAUCUCCAGAACUGGAGCUCAAAAAGCUGUGCCUUUGGAAGCACACCGUUUUGAAAUUCACUCAGACUCAGCACUGUGUGCUAUAUACUUAAAGCUGCCAGACAAAAAAGCAUCAAAAAUAAAGCAUGUGGAGCCAAGGUGUCUGCAACAUUUCCGGGAAUAAAAUAAGUUUUGUUUCAGGUUCUGUGGUAGCUACAGCGGGAAGUGCAGCAUUGUCCAAGUGUUUCCUUCUUCUUCUAACAAAAAUGGACAAGCUCAAACCAAAGCCCACAAAUGCCAAACAAACUACUGAGGAAAUACGUGCAGCUACUGAGGAAAUGCACACAGCUAGAUAUUGCAGCUCACUCCCUUGCAGGUUAAGGGAGGACAUGGGCAGCAGCAUCAGUACUGUGUGUUCACAUACAAGUCAGCUGCAAUAAAUAGCUUAGAAGGCAGUCUCCAAGGAAGCUGAGUGGUAAUUCUGCUAGGACAAUGAAAAAGGGCAAGCAGACCAAGGCAGGCAUCAGAGACCCAUGUGCUUUUGAAAGCAUCAGCAAAUAAAGCCAUAUCUAUAGUUCUACUGGAGUUAGGAAAAGGCGUGUUGCACUGCUCUACAUCCCCACUAGCAGAUGGUACC